UGAUGAAAAACUUGGUAGUGUCAAAAGACUACUACUCACCACUCUUUUAUUUCUUACAACUCACAAUUAUAUUACUUUCACACUAUUUUCUCACAAACUACGAAGGAUUACUCUCUCUACUCUCUAUUGUUUCUCUAUUUUUGGUGUGUCCUUACAAAUGAGCAUAAGUGCUCUAUUUAUAAGAAAAAUUAUGUCCGUUUGAUGUCACUAAUGACAUCAAUGGAAACUAACAAUUCAAAUUUGUAGGUAAACAACUUUGACAUAAAUGUGGUAGCCAAUUUUCACAAAGUUUGGCUGCCAAACUCUACCAAAAUUCUACCAAACUUUGACUUCCAAAACUCUAUCAAACUUCCACAAAUGUGGCUACCAACUUUCACAUUUGUGGCUUGCCAAUUUUCACAUUUGUGGUAAGUAAUUUCAACAAAUGUGGUUGCCAAAUUAGUUGUUGUUUUAUUCCCACAGAAUAUACGCUUUAACUGCAGCUAUACUGUCAUUUGGUUCAACCAUUAAGAAAAAAAAUUAGAUUCUGAACCUCCAACUUCUUUGGGAACACCUCUACAGAGAAAUUGACAUGGUAUUGUGUUCCAAUUAAUCACGUCUUUCCAAGUGUCAUCUUGAAGAAUGAUCUCCGUUGUUCGAUCCCAUGACCAUGGAUCUAAAACAGUAAAACACAACAUAAGGACGUUUCCAUCAAAAUAAAUGAUACACUCAAAGCAAGAAGAGGAAUUCUGACACAGUUAAUUUUUUCUCUAGAAGUGCAAAACAAAUCACCUAAAAAUAGCUACAUAAAACUUAAUCAUAAUAAGUACUACUAAUCUAUAUAACAAAAGUAAACCUCUUUGAAACAACAUAUUAUAUUUAUAGUGAAAAAUCCUUUACAAUGUUCGAGCAAAUAAGCUAAAUUAUAGUAAUUAAACUAUUCUUUCGGAAUAGUGUAUGUAUAUAGAAGAGAGAGAGAGUAUACUCUUCUGCACAUCCUUUAUUUGUAUUUGAGCACUUAAUCUGCCUUUCUUCAUAGUCUCUCUUCAACUAUACCAAAUUGACUCAACCACAAACCCUACUUAUAGAAGGAAAGCUCACGAGAAGUUACUCUCGCCAUCUUUACUUGUUCACUAUUUUUUCUAUUCACUAAUAGUUGUUUAUUAUAAUCUCCAUCCAUUUUUAAUUGUCAUGAUUUUCUUUUUCAGAGUCAAACAAUAAAUAUUUUGAUUAACAUUUUAUAAUGUAUUUUUUUAUCAUAUUGAUACACAAAAAAUUGUAAUUUAUAGUACUUUUUGUGUAGUUUUUGAAUAUCUAAUUUUUUUGUUUAAAAUAUCAAAUUAAUGUAAUCUAAUUUCACUUUUAAAAUUAGUCAAAUUGACUUUCGAAAUAAGCAACAUGACAAUUAAAAGUGGACAUAGGGGGUAUUUACUUGGUACAUGGAUUAAAAAGACUGGGAUCGUUUGGUAGAGUGUAUUAGAAAAUAUAAUGCAUGCAUUAGCCUUGUGUAUUACUAGUACCUUGUUUGGUACUAUUUUCUAACCUAUGUAUAACUAAUGCUUACAUUAGUUAUACACUCUAUUGUGUAUUAAGGUAAGCAUUACUAAUACGAGAAAAGACAUAAAAGCACAACUGAAGUUGUUUCGAAUUUUCAAUAAGACACCUUAACUUUGAGGAUGUCCUAUCACCCCCACAAAAGUAUUGAAUAUUUUUGUAAAAGGACCAUUUUGACCCAAUUUUCUCAUUAUGUUUGUGAACACGCACAUGAUGCACGUGAAGGUCCAUUUUUAAUGCCAAAAACCAAUUAAAAGCUGCCACAUUUAAGUUAUUUUCUUUAUUAAUUAUUUACUCCAUUCAAAUUCAUCAUCUUCCCCAACAAAAGAGUCAUAGGUACUCUAUGAUGAACUGAUGAAAUCAACUCAAUAAGGUAGGAAUUCGUUUUAAUUUCCAAUCGAAAAACUAAUUUAAAGUUGUCCGAGGUUUCAUUUCUUCUAAAUUUCAUUUAGUUUUGAGAACCCAAAAAUCAAACCAAACUCUCAAAUCAGUUGUUUUUUCGAGAGGAUCAACAUCAAAGCUCGGGUUUUAUCAAUCCAUGGUUUGAAAACAAGCCUAAUCGCUAGCCACUCAAAAGAAAUGGCUCCAAAUACCACUACUAUGAUUGAAGAAAAUGAUGAGAGAAACUAAGAAAUGAAAAAUGGAGAACAAGAGUUUUCUUUUUUGAAAUGAUUUGGGUCGGGUCGGGUCGGAUUUGAAGAAAUUAAUUUAAAUUAAAAUUAAUAAAAAAAGUGAGCACCACGCGCCUGUUCACAGUAGAGAAAAUGGGUCAAAAUGGUCCUUUUACAAAGAUAUUCAAUACUUUUGUGGUGUAAUAGGACGUCCUCAAAGUUAAGGUGUCUUUAUGAAAAUUCGAAACAACUUCAGUUGUGCUUUUAUGUCGUUUCUCUUACUAAUACCAUGAAUUUAUAGGUAUUAGCAAUGCAAUGGUUUUAAUGAAUGCAUUAGCUCAAUUAAAGUCUCAUUUACAUUUUUUUUUAUCAUAAUUGUGGAGGUUUUUGUAAAUUAAUUUUUUUAUGCAAUGCAUGCUAUUUUUAAUGCAUCAAACCAAAAAAUGCAUAAAAAUAAUAUAUGUAUAAUUAAUGCAAGCAUAACUAAUACAUGCAUUGUUAAUACAAGUAUUACUAAUACACACUAUUUAAUAUUAUUCUUAUACACUCUACCAAACGACCCCUUAAAUGAUAGAUGUUAUUUUACCAAAUCACAUUUAUUAAAUAUUUCUUUUGUCAACUAUUAUCUUGACAUAGGAAAUAAGAAACAAUAAAUGAUAGAUCUAAUUUUACCAAAUCAUUCAUAUUAAAUACAAGUCAUUUAAACAUUAAAAAAUGAAUAGGUAUAUAAUAUCAAUGAUAAAAUAGACAUGACAUGAUAAAUUAUUCAUUAAUUUUAUAAAUUAGACAAGUAUUGUUGGACAUUCUAAAAUAGUAUAGUGGACAAAUAAAAAUAGACAGAGAGAGUAUAAGUCAUUUAAAUAUUGAAAAAUAAAUAAUAUUUAAUAGCAGUACUAAAAUAGACAUAACAUGGUAAACUAUUCAUUGGUUUUAUAAUUUGCUAGAAAUUCUAAAAUAAUACAAUAGACAAGUAAAGGUGGAUGAAAGAAAUAUAUUAUUUUUAGUAUGUUUAACGCAAUACUUGUCUAUUUUAUAAAAUCACUUAAUUAUUUCUACCUAUUUUACCCUUAUUACAAUACUUUCUUCAUUCGUUUUUACAUGUCGUCCUUAUUAAAAAUAGAUGUUCUUAAAUACUUGUCAUUUCACAAAAUCAAAUGCAUAAACGACAUUAUUCUUCAUACUCCCUCCAUCCAAUAAUAAUUGGCCACUAUACUAAAAAUAGUUGUCUAACAAUACUUGUCCAUUCUAAAAAAUCAAGAGAUAAUUUACCUUUUAUAUCUAUUUUACCCUUGUUGUUUCUAAAGGUUGGACCAAUCAAACCAUAUCAUAUCGAACCAUAGCGGGAGCGAGGAGCACAUAUUCUUUAUUACUGACUUUUCGUGGUUGAUCGCACCAACAGGAGUCGCUGUUUGUGAGUAGGAGAACAUUCUUUAUUGCAAGAUGUUCGUCCACCCGCCGCCUUCGGUCAACUCAAAUAAGAGGCCAGGAAGGACAUUGUUGAAGGCUCACUGAGUGCUUCUAGGUUAAAGGGAAGCACUAGACUCACUCCACAAGAACUCACUUUUCGGUUUGCUUCAAAUUUGGCAUUCAUUCCCCCUCCCUUUCCUGGAUUUCGCGUUAUUGUCUGCUAUGCUAGCCUAUGAUGGAUGAAGGCCUUUCAUUAAAUAUUGUUUAUUAACAAAUUUUCAAAACAUUAAAUUAAUAAAGUCAAAGGAUAAAAUAGUAAUAUUAUCCCUAUUAUUUAUUGUUUCUUAAAGGGAGUGUCAAGUCACUAGUGGAUUACUAUUGUUGGACAAAAGGAGUAUUUAUCUUUGAGAGUUAUUAGCCUUGAAAUUAUGUAUUUGACCAACAUAAAAAAAAAGUAGUUAAUUCAUGCUCAUUGAUCGAAUUAAUUAAUUUAUAUUAAUUAUUAAAAUUUAACUUUAAAAAAUACUAAAUAAGAAUAUAAUAAAAUUUCCUAAUUUUUUUAAAAACAUAAAAUCUAAAAGAACCAGUCAGGUUUUGUGAAGGACAGGAACAUUAUUGAAAAUGUGUUACUGGCACAGGAGAUCACAGCAGACAUUAGAAAGAGAGGAAAACCAUCAAAUGUGGUAAUAAAGCUAGAUAUGACAAAGGCAUAUGAUAGAGUCAAAUGGAGUUUCUUGGUAAAUGUAUUGGAAAAAAUGGGCUUUGAUGCUAGAGUUAGGGACAUGAUAUGGAGACUAAUUGCUAAUAAUUGGUACUCAAUUCUGAUAAAUGGACAAGCACAUGGCUUUUUCCAUUCAACUAGAGAAGUAAAGCAAGGAGAUCCACUCUCUCCAACAUUGUUUAUCUUAGUUGCUGAGGUACUGUCUAGAGCUUUAAACUCUCUAUUUGACAAUUCAGACUUUAAAGGUUUUAGGAUGCCAUAGUGGAGUGACAACAUUAAUCACUUUGCAUAUGCUGAUGAUACAAUCAUAUUUUUAUCUGCCGACUCUAAGUCUGUGAAAUUAGUUAUGAAUAUGCUUAAAGAAUAUGAAGUUCAAUUAGGGCAGAAGAUUAGCAAAGAAAAAAGUGCAUUUUGUGUCUAUCAUAAAACAGCUCUGGCUCAGAUUAAUACUGUGGAGGUGGAAAUUGGCUUCAAAAGGGAAAAAUUUCCAAUGAUGUAUAUAGGUUGUCCCAUUGGACAUGCAAAGAAGAGAAAGGUGCAUUUUACAUAAUUAUUGAAGAAAAUCAACCGUAGGCUACAAGCUUGGAAUGGAAAACUUAUUUCAUAUAGAGGCAAUGUUGUUUUAAUCAAUAAUGUAUUGAGUAGCAUUCUCAUUUAUAUAUUAUCUACCAUUAAUCCUCCAAAAUGUGUGAUUCUGGACAUGCAUAAAAUUUUUGCAAGAUUUUUGUGGAAUUUCAAACAAGUGGGGAGAAAUAAACAUUGGGUUGCCUGGAAUGACAUGUGUAAACCUAAGGAGGAAGGGGGCUUGGGAUUUAGAUCUUUAUUUGAUGUCUCCAAAGCACUUUUUGCUAAGCUGUGGUGGAUAUUUAGAACACAGAAGACACUAUGGACAAACUUCAUGUGGAACAAAUACUGCAAAAGAGAGACCCCAAUUGGUGGAAUAGAAAGGGGGAACUCGGACCUAGAUGAACAUGUUGGAGGCCAGAGAUAUGUUGAUCAAGAAAUCUAGUGGGAACCAAAGAUGGGGAAUUCUAGUGUAUGGUUUGACAGUUGGACUCAAUUGGGGGCUUUGCACUAUUAUCUGCCUAUCACUAAUGAGCAUGACAAUCAAUGGGAGGACAUUAAUCAACUUUUCUCAAAUGGGAGAUGGAAUGUAGAAAGGACACAACAAUUUUUUCCUGAAGAAGUGAGUAAACAUGUUCUUACUCAAAUAAAUUGUGAAGAAAAUUCUGAGGUAUGGGAUAAGCCCUGGUAGAUGUUGAAUAAAUCAGGAAAAUUUACUGUAGGGUCUACCUGGGAUAACAUCAAACAAAAAGGAGAUGUUCAACACUGUUUUCAGCAUAGUUGGAGUAGAGGGUUUUCUUUUAAGGUAUCCUUUUUCUUGUAGAGGCUUUGGAAGAAGAGGUUACCCACUGGGGAGGUUCUAAUAAGAAAUAUGAUUUGUGAUGAAAUGAUUUGUUAUUGCUGUGGAGAAGGAGUUCAAGAAACAAUAGACCAUCUUUUCAUGAACUGCCCUGAUUCUAAAGCAUUAUGGCUUUUUCUUUGCAGCAGGAACAUUAGUAGAUGGUCCAUUUAUCCACAUGAAAGAUAGUAUUUAUAAAUGGUGGCUGGAAAAUGGGUCACCAAGGUCAAACCUAUCUACAAGGUUGUUCCCAUGUUCAUUUUAUGGCACAUAUGAAAGAGAAGAAAUACAUUAAAACAUGGAGGGAAAUUAUCAGCAAUUAGCAUGAGGAUGGAAAUCUGUAGAAACUUGGUGUACAUGGCUCAAAGCUUAUAUCCUUGGUUACAUAAUCUCCCCUCAUCAUGGAUUGACCUAGUGCAAUUCCUAGAAGAAUAUGCACCAAGGAUUGAGUACAAGAUGGUUUACUGGAAGACUCCUAGCAGGGGAUAUAAGUGUAACACUGAUGGGGCUGCAAAAGGGAACCCUGGUCCUAGUUCGGGUGCUUUUUGUGUUAGAAAUGAAGAAGGAAACUUGAUGUAUGCUGAAGGGAGAAGGUUUGGGGAGAACUCCAACAUUGUGGCAGAAGUUUUAGCUUUCAAAAUGGGAUUAGUAUUGCAUUAAUCACCAUUAUCUUCCAUUGACAAUGGAGAUAAACUCUUUAGCCAUAAAGAACAUAUUAGAUGGAGGGUGGGAUACUCCAUGGUGCAUUACAGUAGAUAUCACAAAGAUAAUGAGUUUACUGGUGGAGUCAAACACAACUGUAUAACACACCUACAAGGAAGGCAACAAACUGACAGACUUUUUGCUAACCCUGUUUUCUAUUUUGCAAGUACAGAUCUCCUAACAUAUUCAUCAAUCCAAGAAAUACCAAGAGAAGCUAGAAGUAUAUUACAGUUGGACAAGAACCAGACCCCAAAUCUUAGAAUAAAAAAAUUCCAGGAUGGUAAUUUCAACAUUAGGGGGAGGGGAGCACAACAAGGAACAAAUAACAAUUAGCAAUGCAAUAAAUACAUAUUCGUUCUUGAAAUUGCAGAAUUUUCCAAUGGGUAUCCAAAUCAAAAAUCAAUCAUUGGGGAAAAGGGGAAAUUUUCACACUCAAGUCGAUAUGAAGCGAGAUUCACUUACUCGAUUAGUUAAUAAAUGGAUCUAUGGAUUCUUCUGGCUUAGACAGUGGUAUUAGCUCCAAGUUGAGCUCAACCUGUCAAGAAAGAGAAAAUAUAGUGAAGAUUACUACCUAAUCGCCUAAGGGUUCUGGAUAGAGAGGAGUUGGUCUCACCUUGGCUGUGCAAGACAUGACUGGUUGUGCUAGGAGUUGAAGAAGUCUUCAUUUGAUUGAUUUAUGGCAUUUGUGAGGGGUUUGAAUGCCUUUGUAAAACAAUCAAGACUCACUGGCACCUACGAAGUCAACUCUAGUAGACAGAAGGGAUUCAAAUCGUCGUCUUCCGCUGUCCGCCAUGGCUGUUUUGCUAGAUGAAGGUCUGAAGAAUGGCGGCUGGUCUUUCCAUUUUCUCUUAAUUUUUGGUCUUCUUUCCUUUUCUGUUUUAUUUGUUGUUUUUGUUUAAGUUAGUGGUGU
rnacentral:lncRNA from 1 species